AACGAACGCUGGCGGCAUGCCUAACACAUGCAAGUCGAACGAACCCUUCGGGGUGAGUGGCGCACGGGUGCGUAACACGUGGGAACCUGCCCUUAGGUUCGGAAUAACACAGAGAAAUUUGUGCUAAUACCGGAUAAUGUCUUCGGACCAAAGAUUUAUCGCCUUUGGAUGGGCCCGCGUAGGAUUAGCUAGUUGGUGAGGUAAAGGCUCACCAAGGCGACGAUCCUUAGCUGGUCUUAGAGGAUGAUCAGCCACACUGGGACUGAGACACGGCCCAGACUCCUACGGGAGGCAGCAGUGGGGAAUAUUGGACAAUGGGCGAAAGCCUGAUCCAGCAAUGCCGCGUGAGUGAUGAAGGCCUUAGGGUUGUAAAGCUCUUUUACUGGGGAUGAUAAUGACAGUACCCAGAGAAUAAGCCCCGGCUAACUCCGUGCCAGCCGCCGCGGUAACAC
rnacentral:rRNA from 1 species